GAUGAAGAACGUAGCGAAAUGCGAUAAGUAGUGUGAAUUGCAGAAUUCAGUGAAUCAUCGAAUCUUUGAACGCACAUUGCGCCCUUUGGUAUUCCUUAGGGCAUGCCUGUUCGAGCGUCAUUUAAACCUUCAAGCUCAGCUUGGUGUUGGGUGACUGUCCGCCGCCUCCGGGCGGUCGGACUCGCCUCAAAUUGAUUGGAGGCCGGUACUUUGGCUUCGAGCGCAGCAGAAACGCGAACUCGAGGCCGUCGUCCUGGCUCCCAGAAGCUAUCUUCACAAUUUUGACCUCGGAUCAGGUAGGGAUACCCGCUGAACUUAAGCAUAUCAAUAAGCGGAGGA
rnacentral:misc_RNA from 1 species